AAUUCAACUAGAAGUAGAACAGCGAAGGCCUUUGAAUGUUUGUAAAUUGUCAUGAUUUGUUGUCAUAAAUUAUUAUGUAUGUUUUUCCUUAAUUAUGUAACGUGAUGUAGAAAUGUGAGAACAUAGACCUCACACCAUCAUUUGUGUGCACUAAGAAAAAAAGAAAAUCAAGGCAAUAGUCGAUAAACGUAAACCACUUUAAUGGCCGGCAUAGCCCUGAGGUUUCUACGAUCAAGCGGAAAUCUCAUUGGUCGAUUUGGAGCCUACUCCGCAAUUCUGUACUGCACGGCACACUGCAUCAGCGAGUAUGCCUUGGACUUCACUAAGUGUACAGGUCCUUCAAUGCAGCCAACCAUUGAAAAUAACGACAUAGUCCUCACUGAACACAUCAGUACUAAAUUCUUCAACAGGGUGGACAAGGGUGAUGUGGUUGUCUUGAGGUCACCCAUGGAUCCCACACAGUUCCUGUGCAAGCGAGUUGUGGGCAUGGAGUUUGACGAGGUACCAGGCAACCGAUGGAAGUUCUUACGCACAAAAAACGUUCCCAAAGGCCAUAUAUGGAUAGAGGGCGACAACUCAAGCAAUUCGACAGAUUCUAGAGAGUUUGGUCCCGUUCCGCUUGCAAUGGUCAGAGGUCGAGCUGUCUUGAGGGUAUGGCCGUGGGAACGUAGAGGCUACCUAGCGCCCCAGCCUGCCAGUAGGUGACCCUUACCCUGAAUGAAGAUAUACAGUGGAACAUAUAUUUCUUGUAAACAAACAGAAUGCAUUAAGUAAAAGUACGAUAAACUUCGCAGAGAGGAAAGAGGUGGAAGAUGUAUACUUUAAGAUGUAUCGUCAUUGGCUACUCACAACAAGCGAUGGCAAAGUUUAUCAAUGGAAGAUGCAAAUGCGAUGAUUGUUUAAUCAGCCAAUGAUGACGCGCGCGCGGACGCGCUGUGGGUCAGCCUAGCCACUCACGGCUGUCCGUCACUGUCUCGUCUGCAAGGAGAUUCCAUUAUCUAAUUAAGGAGGACAUGGUGCUAAUGGAGUGUCU
rnacentral:misc_RNA from 1 species